CCUUUUUAUUUAUGACUGUAGGACCUUUCGAGGCCAUUUGAGUUUGACACUUCCUUCUGGUGCUCGAGCUUGGAGGCCCGAACAUCUCGUUACCUUGAGGAAGUCAAUUUUUCCUUAGCCUGUGCUGAGUUCCCUCUCAGAGACUAAGGAUUUUUGAUAAGAGUCUCUUUUCUCAUUGAGACGAGGUCCCUUGUGUCUUCGAUGUAGUCUGUUUUUCACUUAUCACUGGUGUAGUUCGUCGUUUUCCUUUUCUUCUUCUCCCUUUUUUAUGUUCGAAUGAGGAUUUUCCCUUUGCUCCUAAUGGGGUUGUAGGAGUGUAGAGGAAUCAUUGAGGAGGCUUUCCUCCUUAUCCGGUCUCGAACAAUCGGGUCAUCAUUUAUGUCAAGGCGAGGUUCUCCUUCUGUUCCUGACGUAGCCGAUUUCAGCUCAUGUUAGCACGAGGUUCUCCUCCAGCUCCUAACAGAGCUGUGGGGGCACGUAAGGGCCGCUAUAGGGGCCUCUCCCCCCAUCCAGUCUUUAAAAAAUCAGGCCUUCGACUUUGCUCAUGUUAGGAUGAGAUUUUCCUCCUAUUCCUAACAAGGCUGUGGGGGCAC
rnacentral:lncRNA from 1 species